GUGGGGAAUCUUGCGCAAUGGGCGAAAGCCUGACGCAGCCAUGCCGCGUGAAUGAUGAAGGUCUUAGGAUUGUAAAAUUCUUUCACCGGGGACGAUAAUGACGGUACCCGGAGAAGAAGCCCCGGCUAACUUCGUGCCAGCAGCCGCGGUAAUACGAAGGGGGCUAGCGUUGCUCGGAAUUACUGGGCGUAAAGGGCGCGUAGGCGGACAGUUUAGUCAGAGGUGAAAGCCCAGGGCUCAACCUUGGAAUUGCCUUUGAUACUGGCUGUCUUGAGUACGGGAGAGGUGAGUGGAACGCCGAGUGUAGAGGUGAAAUUCGUAGAUAUUCGGAAGAACACCAGUGGCGAAGGCGACUCACUGGCCCGUUACUGACGCUGAGGCGCGAAAGCGUGGGGAGCAAACAGGAUUAGAAACCCGGGUAGUCC
rnacentral:rRNA from 1 species